AGCAUCUCCUUGGGGUGCCCGCUCGGGCUGAGAGGUCUUCUCGAUCAACCCAUCGAACCUGAUCCGGAUUAUGCUGGCGGAGGGAUUGCGAGAUGGCGAGUA
rnacentral:ncRNA from 2 species